rnacentral:rRNA from 1 species
AACUUUCAACAACGGAUCUCUUGGUUCUGGCAUCGAUGAAGAACGCAGCGAAAUGCGAUAAGUAAUGUGAAUUGCAGAAUUCAGUGAAUCAUCGAAUCUUUGAACGCACAUUGCGCCCGUCAGCAUUCUGGCGGGCAUGCCUGUUCGAGCGUCAUUU